rnacentral:rRNA from 1 species
AUGGAGAACUUCCGUGAGGGAGACGAUCGCCUGCAACUGCAAGGGGACGACGAGCUGUUCCAUCACUUCAACUAUCUACAGUCUUCGCCGCUGAUGGACCAGCAGCAGCUGCUGCAGCCGCAGUCGUCAACGUGUGACGCUGCGGCGGACCUGGGUGGCCCGCCGGGGAUGCCCAUGCCCGGGCUGGUGGACUGGGCGUCCCUGCUUCUCCCGCUGGGGCCGGGCGCCGCCGCUGGGUCCACGUCGCAGCAGCAGGUGGUGGCCGGUGUGGUCGGGGAGGAGAUGGUGAGUGGCGUGGCGGGGGCGGCCGCGCCGGAGAGUGGUGCCGGGAGCAGUAGUGGCGUGGGAAGGGAGGAGACGAAAGGGAAGGGCAGUGCGCGCGGGCGGGGGAGCAGGAAGGCGAGCCGGCCGCGGUUCGCGUUCCAGACCAAGAGCGAGAACGACGUCCUCGACGACGGCUACCGGUGGAGGAAGUACGGCCAGAAGGCCGUCAAGAACAGCGCCUUCCCCAGGAGCUAUUACCGGUGCACGCACCACACAUGCAACGUGAAGAAGCAGGUGCAGCGGCUGGCCAAGGACACGAGCAUCGUGGUGACCACGUACGAGGGCGUCCACAACCACCCCUGCGAGAAGCUCAUGGAGGCCCUCAACCCCAUCCUCAGGCAGCUUCAGUUCCUCUCGCAGCUCUAA